UACGUAGGGGGCAAGCGUUGUCCGGAAUGACUGGGCGUAAAGCGCGCGCAGGCGGUUUCUUGCGUCUGAGGUGAAAGUUCAGGGCUCAACCCUGAGAUUGCCUUGGAAACGGGGGAACUUGAGGGUCGGAGAGGUCAGGGGAAUUCCACGUGUAGCGGUGAAAUGCGUAGAUAUGUGGAGGAAUACCAGUGGCGAAGGCGCCUGACUGGACGAAACCUGACGCUGAGGCGCGAAGGCGUGGGGAG
rnacentral:rRNA from 1 species